rnacentral:rRNA from 1 species
AUUGAACGCUGGCGGAAUGCUUUACACAUGCAAGUCGAACGGUAGAGGGGGGCAACCCCUUGAGAGUGGCGAACGGGUGAGUAAUAUAUCGGAACGUGCCCAGUCGUGGGGAUAACGUAGCGAAAGUUACGCUAAUACCGCAUACGAUCUAAGGAUGAAAGCGGGGGAUCGCAAGACCUCGCGCGAUUGGAGCGGCCGAUAUCAGAUUAGGUAGUUGGUGAGGUAAAGGCUCACCAAGCCAACGAUCUGUAGCUGGUCUGAGAGGACGACCAGCCACACUGGAACUGAGACACGGUCCAGACUCCUACGGGAGGCAGCAGUGGGGAAUUUUGGACAAUGGACGCAAGUCUGAUCCAGCCAUUCCGCGUGCAGGAUGAAGGCCCUCGGGUUGUAAACUGCUUUUGUACGGAACGAAAGGUUUGUCUUAAUACGAUGAGCUCAUGACGGUACCGUAAGAAUAAGCACCGGCUAACUACGUGCCAGCAG